ACCCUCACAUAUACUGGAAUUUUUCUGUGCUGGGGGCAUCAGGAUACCUGAUCUGGGGAGGCCUGUCUUUUAUCAUCUCUGGAUCUUUGUCAGUCUUGGCUGAAAAGGAUACCAACAGUUGCGUGGUGAACAGCAGCAUUGGCAUGAACGUCAUCAGUUCCAUCUUCUCCUUGACUGGAAUCCUCGUUAUCAUCAUAGAUUUGUGUUUUCCCACCCCCG
rnacentral:lncRNA from 1 species